rnacentral:rRNA from 1 species
UACGUAGGGUCCGAGCGUUGUCCGGAAUUACUGGGCGUAAAGCGUGCGCAGGCGGCUUCUUAGGCAUGACGUGAAAGCCCCGGGCUCAACCCCGGGGAGGGUCGUCGUGAACCGGGGGCUUGAGGCCGGUAGAGGUGGGUGGAACUCCUGGUGGAGUGGUGAAAUGCGUAGAGAUCAGGAAGAACACCCGUGGCGAAGGCGGCCCACUGGGCCGGUAC